UAAGUCAAUUUAUACACCUCAGGCGGCUAGCAUUAUUGUGAAUGAAGAGCUAACUGAACCAUGUCAUAUACAAAAAGGAACAAGACAAGGAUGCCCUUUGUCACCGUUGCUCUUUAUUUUGGUAUUGGAAGUUUUUAACAGAGAUAUUAGAAGAGAUGAACAAAUAAAGGGCUUAAAGAUCAAACAAGAUGUUUUUAAAUUGAGGGCUUUUGCCAGUGAUUUAGUUUUGAUAACAGGACCUUUGGAAUCUAUUGAGCAUCUGAUGAAGAAACUGAAGGAAUUUCGGUCAUUGGCAGGUCUUAAAGUAAAUAAACAAAAAACAAAAAUGUUAAUUAAAAAUAUGACCCUGCCUGAUCAAGAUUUGUUGAUGGGUAAGACAGGCUUCAGGAUUGAAAAAAAGGUGAGAUAUCUGGGGGUGAUUUUGUCAACUAAAAAUAGUAUGUUGUUUCAGAAUAACUAUGGCAAAAUUUGGAAUGAGGUCAAAAAAGAUUUGGUAAGAUGGGAAAAAUUACAAUUCUCUCUCAUUGGGAGAAUUUCGGUGAUUAAAAUGAAUGUUUUGCCUAGGAUGUUGUUUCUUUUUCAGACUAUACCAAUUUUGUCUACAGAUAUACUGUUUAAACAGUGGCAGAGAUAUUUUGAAGUUUAUUUGGCAAGGCAAAAACCCAAGAAUUAAAUAUAAAUUGUUACAAGAUGCCAAGGAACGAGGUCUGGGUCUGACUAAUUUAAAAUUGUAUUUUGAUGCCUGCUGUUUGCUUUGGAUAAAGGAUUGGAUAACUUUGGAAAAUA